rnacentral:lncRNA from 1 species
GGAAUAGUAGUAGGCUGAAGCUGCCUCUUUUCUUAUUUAAUAUUUAUUAUCUUAUCAAGUAUAUUUACAUUGAGGAAGACCAUGAAAAACUUCAUGGUAUACUACAUUUUUAGUGUAUUGUACAUAAUUCUCAUCACUUUCAAACCCGCUUGGGUUGGUGCAUUGGUAUUGGUUUGGGACCUGGGAGUGUGCUCCUCUUGAGGUCUGAGGUUCGAUUCUCUCUGGUGUCAAUUUGAGUGGGCUAAUUUAGCUUCUUCAAAAAAAAAUUCUCAUCACUUUCAAUAAUGAGAAUCCUCAAACCGUUUGGUGAAGUCACCCUUGAAAAAGCAACAUACCACUGUUCGUGACUAAAUACAGGUUUUGGCAAAUAUAAUCCCACAUAAUUUAAUGACUGACCCUGACAAAUAAGAAGAAUAUGCCACUUCUUUAUCUAAAACACACAUAGCAAUUUCAAAAAUACUCCCAUGACAAUUAUUCAUAAGUAAAAUAAACAAAGAUAUAUAUGCAUACCAAAAUAAAAUAAAAAAGCCAAAGCAAGAUACGAAGAAUUUUCAUUUUACACAAAGGAGAUAAAGAAACACAUCGGGGUACUAUGGUAAUAUUUUAUUAUAAAGUUUCAUUCUAUUAUUUACACCCCAAAUUAUAAGAAAAAGGAACUUAAUUAUUUAUCUUUAUUACCGUUUCAUUCCAUUCUUUACCACCAAUCCAAAAAUAACCUUAAGAAGGAGGUCGUCCAGGACGUCCGGGAAAUAUCCUUGGUAUACAUCUAACGCCCUCUUCAGGACGGGUACCUUGAUGGUGGCAAGUAGGAUUUACCCGAACCUUACUGGAAUGAAUAGUUGGACCGUCGUAAUUGUGAGCAACUAGUGUUUGCGGAUGAGUUGUUGGUGAUUGGUAACUGAUGAGGCCAUCGGAUCCAGUAGCAACCUCUUCAUGUAAAUUUUGGUGAUGCUUGAGAUUCCUUGCAGUGGUGAGAGAAAAAACUGCAAGGAACGAAACUAGCACAUAUACUAAGUAAUAAUUAGACAUCUUUGUAGCUGCAUAUGACACUCACAAAUAAUUAGUUUGGAGGUAGGGCUGUAUUUGUAUACAUA